rnacentral:lncRNA from 1 species
GUUAAAAAACAGUAAAGAAAAUUAGAUAUGGCUGAUAAAUAUAUAUUUGUAAGUUACUUCGAGUCCUGUAGACAUUAAAAUGAUCAGUCAUUUCUUUUUCAGGGACAUGAUGUGACACAAAAUGGCAGCUGAUCAAAAAUUCUAUUGCUGGUAGAAAUGAUUUCGGCUUUGAGGAUGAGUUGUAUAUAGAAAUGCACUUCAGCUCUGGUCUCUCCUGAAAGAAAAGUAAAAUCAGUUAAUUAUAUUCAGAGAUGCUUAUGCCACAGAUGCUCAGUGUUUCAGAUGCUCAAGCCACACAGAGAAGAUUCGGGUGCAGGCUUGUGUCUGUGUGUGCUGGUCCCACUGGAGACUCAGGACUGGAUCUUCCAUACCACAAGAUGACCUGGUGGUUCCUCAGCAAGUAUUUCCAGAAGGCCAUCAAUGAGCAGCUACCCCUGUCCUGGCCACGUGCUGUGGCCAAACGUGUUUGCAGUCAGUAA